rnacentral:misc_RNA from 1 species
CACCUCUAAUCAAUCUUAACAGACGAGAAGAGGUAGUGGACGAAGUAGAAGGAGAGCAGGAAACCAAUGGCGCCAGUGGAGAGCAUGAUUGCAAGGGCCAUGAUCAGGGAAUAGCCAAGGUAGAGUGUGGCAGAAACUGGUCCACUCAGGCUCCUGAGAUCGAACACCAGGUAGUUAAUAGAGUAGAGGAACACAUAGAAUGCGACAGAGCCAGAAGCAAAGAAGGCCUUCCACCACCAUUUCCAGUCCUCCACGCAAAGGUGCAUGUAGGUGAGGACCAGAGAAACCUCACCACAGACUAUGACCAGCAGGAAGAGGACAAUGAACAGGAAGCCAAAGACAUAGUAGAACCUUCCCAACCAAAUGCUGGAAAGGAUGAAGAAGAGCUCAAUGAAGAGAGUACCAAAUGGCAAUGUUCCCGCACCGAGCACAAGCAACCAUGGGGGGAACUUGCGCUCAGGGAUCUCUCGUGGGAUCUGGUUGGUUCGGACAGGGUAGUCGAUGCUUGCAGCACGUGUGCCUAGCAAGCCUCCAAUAAGUGUGAGUGGCACAGAGAUGCAGAACCACAGGGCCAGGAGGGUGAAGAACAGUGAGAUG